AUCCUGGACUGGAUCCUUGAAUAAAAAAUAAACAUUAGGCCCUGGUGUGAUUCUGUCCUGCGCGGCUGUUCCUUGGAGCAGUAGUCGUUUAUCUCUGUCUGCCUUCUCGCCCACCUAAGUGCAUGCCACCACCUCAUGGAAGAUUCGAUGGACAUGGACAUGACCCCCUUGAAGCCUCAGAACUACCUUUUCGGUUGUGAACUAAAAGCUGACAAAGAUUAUCACUUUAAGGUGGAUAAUGAUGAAAAUGAGCACCAGUUAUCUUUAAGAACAGUCAGUUUAGGGGCUGGUGCAAAGGAUGAGUUGCACAUUGUUGAAGCAGAGGCAAUGAAUUAUGAAGGCAGUCCAAUUAAAGUAACACUGGCAACUUUGAAAAUGUCUGUACAGCCAAUGAUUUCUCUUGGGGGCUUUGAAAUACCACCACCUGUGGUCUUACGGUCAAAGUGUGGUUCGGGGCCUGUGCCCAUUAGUGGGCAGCACUCAGUAGCUGUAGAAGAAGAUGCAGUCAGAAGAUGAAGAGGAGGAGGAUGUGAAACUCUUAAGUAUGAAGAUGAUGAUGAUGAUUUUGAUGAGGAGGAAACUGAAGAAAAAGCUCCAGUGAAGAAAUCAGUGUGAGACACUCCAGCCAAAAAUGCACAAAAAUCAAAGCACAAUGGAAAGGAUUCAAAACCAUCAACACCGAGAUCAAAAAGGUCAAGAAAUCCUUCAAAAAACAGGAAAAAACUCCUAAAACACCAAAAGGACCUAGUUCUGCAAAGACAUUAAGGCAAAAAUGCAAGCAAGUAUAGAAAAAGGUGGGUCUCUUCCCAAAGUGGAAGCCAAGUUCAUCAAUUAUGUGAAGAACUGCUUCCGGCUGACUGACCAGGAGGCUAUUCAAGAUCUCUGGCAGUGGAAGGAAGUCUCUUUAAGAAAAUAGUUUCAACAGUUUGUUAAAAUUUUCCAUCUUACUUCAUUUCUGUAACAGUUGAUAUCUGGCUGUCCUUUUUAUAAUGCAGAGUGAGAACUUUCCCUACCAUGUUUGAUAAAUGUUGUCCAGGUUCCAUUGCCAAGAAUGUGUUGUCCAAAAUGCCUGUUUAGGUUUUAAAGAUGGAACUCCACCCUUCACUUGGUUUUAAGUAUGUAUGGAAUGUUAUGAUAGGGCAUAGUAGUAGUGGUGGUCAGACAUGGAAAUGGUGGGGAGAC